GACGAACGCUGGCGGCGUGCUUAACACAUGCCAGUCGAACGGUGAUGCUCCAGCUUGCUGGAGUGGAUCAGUGGCGAACGGGUGAGUAACACGUGAGCAACCUGCCCCAGACUCUGGAAUAAGCGCUGGAAACGGCGUCUAAUACUGGAUACGAAACUGGCCCGCAUGGGCAUGGUUUGGAAAUUUUUUCGGUUUGGGAUGGGCUCGCGGCCUAUCAGCUUGUUGGUGAGGUAAUGGCUCACCAAGGCGACGACGGGUAGCCGGCCUGAGAGGGCGACCGGCCACACUGGGACUGAGACACGGCCCAGACUCCUACGGGAGGCAGCAGUGGGGAAUAUUGCACAAUGGGCGAAAGCCUGAUGCAGCGACGCCGCGUGAGGGAUGACGGCCUUCGGGUUGUAAACCUCUUUCAGCAGGGAAGAAGCGAAAGUGACGGUACCUGCAGAAGAAGCACCGGCUAACUACGUG
rnacentral:rRNA from 1 species